UACGUAGGGUGCGAGCGUUGUCCGGAAUUAUUGGGCGUAAAGAGCUUGUAGGCGGUCUGUCGCGUCUGCUGUGAAAAUCCGGGGCUCAACCCCGGACUUGCAGUGGGUACGGGCAGACUAGAGUGUGGUAGGGGAGACUGGAAUUCCUGGUGUAGCGGUGAAAUGCGCAGAUAUCAGGAGGAACACCGAUGGCGAAGGCAGGUCUCUGGGCCACUACUGACGCUGAGGCGCGAAAGCUAGGGGAGCAAACGGG
rnacentral:rRNA from 1 species